rfam:Ictidomys tridecemlineatus contig079153, whole genome shotgun sequence.
GGGAUUGUGGCUCAGUGGUAGAGCGCUCGCCUCGCACGUGAGAGGCCCUAGGUUUGAUCCUCAGAACCA